GCGGCCAUAAUUGCUUAGUUCCGGUGGUUGACUUUACACAGAAAUAACCCGCUCCCCCCCACCCACCCCUCACACAGUCAACACAUCCACAAACUUCUUCCCAUUGCCCCGACAUUAAUUGUUCAUUCACGGCGCUGUACCUAACAAUGAUAACAACAACAGCAACAACAACAACGACAACAACAACGGUAAGUACAACAAUAACGAAUAAUUACAGAGACUUAGCUGGGUUCCUGAUAACUGAUUGGUUAAAAGAGAAUCGUGAAACCACGCCUACAAAGCAUCUUACCGAGUCAACGAAGCCAUGAGGAUGAUGAUGAUGACGACGAUGAUGAUGAUGAUGAUUACAGUUGUGUAAAAUUGGAAAGCAUACAUACGAUUAUAAAUACAAGGUGGACGGUGGUCUUGUUUCGUCCACAUUCGUCUCAGCUAUUUUGGCGAAGACGACAUCAACUUGGUGGCUCAUGAGAACCGAUUUGACUUCACACAAACACACUCUCACACACGCGGAUGCUUACAUUCUUAAGGAAGAACAGCAACGCCUACGACUUUUCCAUAUCCGUCUCACAAAUUGCUGAGACCGCUAACACGGUCGGAUUUCUGAAGUUCAGUUGUGACACGAUUAUUUUAACCGUUUGGGUUCGUUCAACAUUCGCCAUUUUGGGA